GUCCUGGCCGUAAACGGUGAACACUAGGUGUUGGAGGCAUCGACCCCUCCAGUGCCGCAGCUAACGCAUUAAGUGUUCCGCCUGGGGAGUACGACCGCAAGGUUGAAACUCAAAGGAAUUGACGGGGGCCCGCACAAGCGGUGGAGCAUGUGGUUUAAUUCGACGCAACGCGAAGAACCUUACCGGGGUUUGACAUGCACGGGACAGGUGUGGAAACACACCCUCCCUUCGGGGUCCGUGCACAGGUGCUGCAUGGCUGUCGU
rnacentral:rRNA from 1 species